rnacentral:rRNA from 1 species
UACGUAGGGUGCAAGCGUUUGUCCGGAAUUAUUGGGCGUAAAGAGCUCGUAGGCGGUUCGUCGCGUCGGCUGUGAAAACCCGAGGCUCAACCUCGGGCCUGCAGUCGAUACGGGCGGACUGGAGUUCGGCAGGGGAGACUGGAAUUCCUGGUGUAGCGGUGAAAUGCGCAGAUAUCAGGAGGAACACCGGUGGCGAAGGCGGGCUCCUGGGCCG